UACAGAGGGUGCAAGCGUUGUUCGGAAUUAUUGGGCGUAAAGGGAGUGUAGGCGGUUUGAAAAGUCUUCUGUGAAAUCUACGGGCUUAGCCUGUAAAGUGCAGAGGAUACUAUCAGGCUUGAGUAUCGGAGAGGAUAGGGGAAUACCCAGUGUAGAGGUGAAAUUCGUAGAGAUUGGGUGGAACACCAGUGGCGAAGGCGCCUAUCUGGCCGAUAACUGACGCUGAGACUCGAAAGCAUGGGGAGCAAACAGG
rnacentral:rRNA from 1 species